UAUGCAGGAUGUUCCGCACAAGGCUGUUUCAGUCGAGUCGGGUAGCUUGGGAAUGCUGCUCUAAUUGGUGGUAAAUCUCAUCAAAGGCUAAAUAAAGGUGGGAGACCGAUAGUAAACAAGUACCGUGAGGGAAAGAUGACAAGCACUUUGAAAAGAGGGUGAAAAGAACCUGAAACCGUUACGGGGGAAGCGGAUUGCGUUGGAUUGAUGGGCGUUUGUGUGUUCAGCCAUGAACUUUGUUCUAGGUGCAUUGAUGCAAAUUGCUUAUCCGUCGUGGGUUUUCGGCAAUCGAAUUUGGGUUGCUGGAGGCUGAGGGCUCCCCUUUUAGGGUAUUGAGGACGGCGGAGUGACGACGCGAUACGACCCGUCUUGAAACACGGACCAAGGAGUCUAGCGCGGGUGCGAGUCGAAGGGUUUGAAAACCUGUGGGCGAAGUGAAAGCGAGUUUUGAUUCUAAAACUAGCAGUUUGAGGCGGCAUAGAAUCGUUGAUUCUAGGUCCGACCUGGAGCAGUUGCGCUGGGACCCGAAAGAUGGUGAACUAUGCCGGAGUAGGGCAAAGCCAGAAGAAAUUCUGGUGGAGGCUCGUAGCGGUGCUGACGUGCAAAUCGCUCGUCAAACUUGGGUAUAGGGGCGAAAGACUAAUCGAACCAUCUAGUAGCUGGUUCCCUCCGAAGUUUCUCUCAGGAUAGCGGGCCGACACGAGUUGUUUUGUGCGGUAAAGCGAAUGAUUAGCGCACUCGGGGACUUUUAGUCUUCGGGCGAUUCUCAAACUUUCAAUGCGCAAGGGUACCGGUGCUUAAUUGAGCGGUACCG
rnacentral:rRNA from 1 species